UACGGGGGGAGCAAGCGUUGUUCGGAUUUACUGGGCGUAAAGGGCGCGUAGGCGGUCGUGACAAGUCACUUGUGAAAAUCUCCGGGGCUUAACUCGGAAACGGUCAAGUGAUACUGUCGGACUAGAGUACAGAAGGGCACUGGAAAUUUCUCGGUGUAGCGGGUGAAAUGCGUAGAUAUCGAAAGAGGGAAACACCCUGCGGGCGAAGGGCGGUUUGCUUGGCUGAUGACUGACGCUGGGAGGGCGCGAAAGCCCAGGGAGCGAAACGGG
rnacentral:rRNA from 1 species